rnacentral:misc_RNA from 1 species
UUGUAGAAUAGAGGUGCUGAGGUUGUCGCUGACUUUUUGAAUGGGUCGUGCACGCCUCGGUGCUCUCACAUAUAAUCCAUCUCACCCCUUUGUGCAUUACCGCGUGAGGGUCCCUUUCGGCUAGUUCUGAGGGGGGUUUUCACGUUUUUACAUAGACACCCUUUUAAUGCAAUGUGUAGAAUGUCUUACUUUCUUUGCGAUCACACGCAAUUAAUA